AUUGAACGCUGGCGGCAUGCUUUACACAUGCAAGUCGAACGGUAACAGGCCUUCGGGCGCUGACGAGUGGCGAACGGGUGAGUAAUGCAUCGGAACGUGCCCAGUCGUGGGGGAUAACGCAGCGAAAGCUGUGCUAAUACCGCAUACGAUCUGCGGAUGAAAGCGGGGGACCUUCGGGCCUCGCGCGAUUGGAGCGGCCGAUGUCAGAUUAGGUAGUUGGUGGGGUAAAGGCCUACCAAGCCGACGAUCUGUAGCUGGUCUGAGAGGACGACCAGCCACACUGGGACUGAGACACGGCCCAGACUCCUACGGGAGGCAGCAGUGAGGAAUAUUGGUCAAUGGGCGUAAGCCUGAACCAGCCAUCCCGCGUGAAGGAAGACGGCGCUAUGCGUUGUAAACUUCUUUUCCGGAGGAAUAAAAUUUCGUACGUGUACGGAACUGAAGGUACUCCGGGAAUAAGCAUCGGCUAACUCCGUGCCAGCAGCCGCGGU
rnacentral:rRNA from 1 species